GGGGUGAGGGUGCAGGGUGGCGGCUCUAAGGUCGGGAGGACCGCCCCGGGCUUGCCUGCUGAGACCGAAAACCGUGCGGGGUGCUGAAGCCGGGUUCGGGUUUCAGCCCCUUUCCCUGCUUGAACGGGGGCGUGUGACCGUCUACUUCCUUGAACCCUGCGCAGGGGCGGGCAAGAUUGCUAACGUCUUGAGCGUCUCCGACUUCGUGUUAACUGAGUUUUGGUGACCGCCGUACCCGGAGAUGCGGGGACAGGAAGAAACGGUCUAACGUACAAGGCGCUGCGGUUUCUGUGCAAGGACUGCUUUGUCCUUUCUACUUUGUACUUUUUUUGGCAAAUAUAAAUCCCCAUGCCAAAUCGUCUUAGAAUAUGUCGCACCGGGCAGGUCAUACUACCCACCCACAAAGAGCAUCUCGCUCUGGAGUACAUAGUUUUAGCCCAAGUCAAAAUGAACUGAAAACUGAACAUUCAGGGCAUGUCCCCAAGAAGCGUCCGAGGGUGGCCGGCGGCCGGCGCCCCGGGCCUCGCAGCUGCGCCUGCGCGGUGCCUCCGCCGCCGCCUCCUCCGCCUCUUCCGCCUCCUCCGCCUCCUCCGCCUCCUCCGCCGCCGCCGCCUCCUCCUCGUCAGGGCACGCGAGGCGGUGCUUCGAGGCUGGAGGAGUCGUCUCUUGGACUCAUCACGUCGUGGACUCGGGUCUGCCCCUGGUUUUCAGCCUUGUGAGGUAUGGACGCUACCAAGGUUUGCUUAGUGACGACGUACGACCGCGUGACAGCUCAGAGCUCCUAAGAAAGUUGGCUUUCUCUUCUUCCAGACCUUUCUCAGAAAAUUCGAGGCUGUUUUAUUUGAACAAAACCAGAUUUUUAUUUUUUUUUUUAGGUUUUUAUUUUGAAAUAAUUACAGAAUCAGAAGAAGCUGCAAAGGUAGUGAGGUCCCGUCUACCCUUCGCCCAGGCUCCCCCAAUGAUUUUUAUCUUAAAUAACUUGGAACACAACAUCAAAACCAGAAAAGUGUGUCUAGUUCCGUCACUUUAUCACAUGCAGACUUGUGUGAUCACUGUGAGCAUCGAGAUGCAGAACCAUUCCACAGAGCUGUCUGUUGGGUUAAGGAAGAGGGACAGCUCAAAGCCACAAAGAAGUGUGACCCUGUGCCGGUGCACAGAGUGGCCUUGGGUAUAACAGCCCAGGCAGACCUGAAGUUGGAUGCGCAAGGGAUCCCCUUGCUGGGAGUAAAGAGAACAACUAGAAAUUGUAUCCUCAUUACUCUGACCAGAAAUAGAGGUUUGGAAGAAGAAUCUCUACCCCACAUGGUAACUGGAGGCCUAUAUCUCAAUGAUACCUUGAAAACAAAACUACUCAAUGAGAAUUCUUUUUUUCCCUAAUAUUUUGUCUUUAUAAGCAGGUAACCAAAAAAAUAAAAAAAAAAAAUCCCAACACCACAAAUUGUUCGAUCGUAAUAUAAGGUUUAUGCAUAGCGGCUGCAUUCUAAUGAACCAAUCUAGAGCAGUGUUUGAAAUACAAUAAUACAUUUCACAUCAUGACCUAGUGCUGAUAAACAUAUCUACAAAACUGAAAAAUUUCAUGAAACAAUACUUUACACUUGCACAUUCAAUCAUGCAAAACAAUUACAAAGUUUAUGUCAAGUAUUAUUCUAUUCAUAUGCAUAUAUAUAUCCCAGGGGAAAAAAUAAACUAAAAAUUAGGAGUAACUUUCUUUAAUGCCUGUUCACAAAUUUAUUCCAUCCCAGAACUCUCAAGGACAAAGUUACUAUGAAUGUAUCUAGUUGAGGCUUAUGUGACUCUUCUUAAAUAAACUCAGUGGGAAAUCUCAUACUUACUAAAUGCAGGUAAAAUUCUCACAUUUCACAACUGUAAAUUACAAUAAUAUUAAACUCUACAAAUCUACCUCCUCCAUUUUGAUAAUGGCAAAACUGGUUGUCAUUUACCACUGAAUCAAGUGAUAUCAGUAAACAAGAGCUGGAAACGUGAUCGGUAGCCCACCUAUAUCCCUUGUAUGGCCUCCCUCACUAACUUGUCACAAUUGGUGACAAUAUUUGUCACAAUGGGUACAGUUGUGGGGUCAGAAUCUGGGAAAUGCACUGUGAUAUUUUCUGUUCUUUUUUUUACUAAGGUACAAUAAAGACACCUCAAAAAAAGGUAAACUUGUUACAGCCCACAGGUUAAUGGGUUGUGGUCCACAGAUUUGAAAACACUGGUUCAGAAGCUCUCACCUUUUAAAUAAAUGCAGUAUACGAUUU